rnacentral:lncRNA from 1 species
GUGUAUCGAGAUUCGAAAACUCAAACUUUGCAAUUACUAAAAUUACGUACUCCAACUUUAACGCAUCAAAAUUAUGUCCGUAUAUUUGCAUUUCAUAAGUAUUUUUAGAUAAAGAAAGUUUUAUUUCAUAACUAUUUUAAUGGAGCGUUAAUUUUGCAUAAGUAUUUUAAUGCGAUGUUGAUUUUUGUAGUUACUGAUAAUAUAUUGUAAGAAAAAUACAUGGUUAUAACAUACUUAUAAGGGCCUUUUCAAUUUUUC